UUGAGGCCUUCGUUGGAAACGGGAUUUCUUCAUGUUACUCUAGAUAGAAGAAUUCUCAAACACUGCUAUGUGAUGUUUGCAUUCAAGUCACAGAGUGCAACAUUCCUCUUGAUAGAGCAGUUUGGAAACAUUGUUUCUGUAGAAUCUGCAAGUGGAUAUUUGGACCUCUUUGAGGCCUUCGUUGGAAACGGGAUUUCUUCCUAUAAACCCAGACAGAAGAAUUCUCAGAGACUUCUUUGUGAUGUGUGAAUUCAACUCACAGUGUGGAUCCUUCCUUUUGAUAGAGCAGUUUUGAAACACUGUUUUUGUAGUAUUUCCAAGCGGAUAUUUGGAACGCCUUGAAGCGUAUGGUAGAAAAGGAAAUAUCUUCUCAUAAAACCUAGACAGAACCAAUCUCAGAAACGACUUUGUGAUGUCUGCAUUCAACUCACAGAGUUGAACAUUUCUCUUGAUAGAGCAGUUUUGAAACCCUCUUUCUGAAGGAUCUGCAAGUGGAUAUUUGGACCUCCUUUGGGUCUUCGUUGGAAACGGGAUUUCUUCGUAUAAAUCUAGACAGAAGAAUUCUCCGAAAUUUCUUUGGUUGUGUGCACUCAAGUCACAGAGUGGAACCUUCCUUUGGAUAGAGCAGUUUGAAACGCUGUGGUUGUAGUAUUUCCAAGCGGAUAUUAGAGCGCCUUGAAGCCUAUGGUAGAAAAGGAAAUAUCUUCCCAUAAAACCUAGACGGAAGCAAUCUCAGAAACUACUGUGUGAUGGCUGCAUUCCACACACACGGUGGAACAUUUCUCUUGAUAGAGCAGUUUUGAAACACUCUUUCUGUAGAAUCUGCAAGUGGAUAAUUGGACCGCCUUGAGGCCUUCGUUGGAAACGGGAUUUCUUCAUGUUACUCUAGAUAGAAGAAUUCUCAAACACUACUAUGUGAUGUUUGCAUUCAAGUCACAGAGUGCAACAUUCCUCUUGACAGAGCAGUUGGGAAACACUCCUUUUGUAGAAUUUGCAAUGGGAUAUUUGGACUUCUUUGAGGCCUUCGUUGGAAACGGGAUUUCUUCGUAUAAAUCUAGACAGAAGAAUUCUCAGAAACUUCUUUGUGAUGUGUGCAUUCAACUCAGCGAGUGGCACCUUCCUUUGGAUACAGCAGUUUUGAAACACUGUUUUUGUAGUAUUUCCAAGCAGAUAUUUAGAGCGCCUUGAAGCCUAUGCUAGAAAUGGAAAUAUCUCCCCAUAAAACCAAGAGAGUAGCAAUCUCAGAAACUAAUGUGUGAUGGCUGCAUUCCACACACACGGUGGACCAUUUCUCUUGAUAGAGCAGUUUUGAAACACUCUUUCUGUAGAAUCUGCAAGUGGAUAAUUGGACCUCCUAGAGGUCUUCAUUGGAAACGGGAUUUCUCCAUCUAAACCUACAGAGAAGAAUUCUCAGUAACUUCUUCGGAUGUGUGCACUCGACUCACAGAAUGGAACAUUUCCUUUGAUAGAGCAGUUUUGAAACACCGUUUUUGUAGAAUUCCCAAGUGGAUAUUUAGAGCACUUUGAAGUCUCUGCCAGAAAAGGAAACAUCUUCAUGUAAAAAGUAGAUAGAAUCAUUCUCAGAAAGUGCUGAGUGAUGUGUGCGUUCAACUCACAGAGUGUAACGUUUCUUUUGAUAGAGCGUUUCUGAAACACCCUUCUUGUAGUAGCUGCAAGUGGAUAUUUGGACCUAUUGGAGGCCUUCUUUGGAAACGGGAUUUCUUCAUGUAACUCUAGAUUGAAG
rnacentral:lncRNA from 10 species